AAAGAUCUGUCUGCUGAGUGCUGCCAUUGAAGAAACUUGAAGUAUGGAACCAACUCCUAGUGCUACCUCAACGGGUUCAAAUACAAACACAACCAACAAAUUAACUGAUCCAGCUAGGAAAUAUUCUACGCAAGAGCCUAGCAAUAGAAACAAUUUUCGUUGCCAUUUUUGUUCUAAAGUAGUGAAGGGUGGUGUGUAUCGAAUGAAAUGGCAUUUCAUUGGUGGUUUUCCGGAUGUUACUAGUUGCCGAAACUGUCCAGAGCAUGUAAAGGAAGAGGUGAGGUCUUUCAUGCAACAAAAAAG